ensembl:lncRNA
CCUCCUUCAGAGCCCGCCCCCUCCUACAGAACCCCGGCCCUCCUUCAGAACCCCGCCCCUCCUUCAGAACCUAGGUCCUCCUUCAGAACCCCGCCCCUCCUACAGAACCCCGUCCCUCCUACAGAACCUAGUCCCUCCUACAGAACCCCAUCCCUCCUACAGAACCCCGCCCCCUUUAGAACCCUACCUGCACGUCUCUGUAGAACAUCUCGUACUGAUGGAUCAUCUGCCGGCUGAUCUGGGAUCCGUGGUAAACAAUGACGUUCAUGGGGGUCCAGGUACGGAACUCCCUCUCCCAGUUUGUGAUGGUGGACAGGGGGGCGAUGAUGAGGAAGGGGCCGCGGAUCCCCAUGCUGAAGAUCUCAAACAGAAAGGUGAUGGACUGGAUCGUUUUUCCUAGACCCAUCUCAUCCGCCAGUAUGCAGUUCUUCCUGGAGGGGAGACGGAGACAGAGUCUUUAACCAGAAGACGGGUGGAGACACAGCUGGUCACACAACACAAAGAGAAGCAACGGUACAAACUCACAUGCACUAAAAAGCACGCUCACGUGCACUAGCAUGCAUCAAAAGGCCAUGUGGUGCAUUCAUUUAAAUAUCAGAUUAUUUGUGGAACUGAUGUGUAGAUUUUAGAUUCAUUUUAUAAUUAGUUCCCCAUAAUAACUAAAUGUAAACUAAUGUGUGUGCGAGAGCAGCACUCACCGGUUGUACCAGUUGAAGAGUAACCAGUUCAUUCCCUCUAACUGGUACUCUCUGAGCUGGUUCCCAUUUCUGAAAUCUCUGGUGUUGUUCAGCUUCUGCCACUUCUCUGGAGGAGGACGAUCCUGCAACGCAAGCACGUGGAAACCUUUUAUCAGAUAUGAGGAGCGGGCAAACCAUCAGACUGUAGAGCUCCUGGAUUCUUUGGGUUCCAUCACAAAGGAGAUUAAAUAGCUGUAGAGUAUUAGAUUCGAUUAUUAAGGCUUCCCUUCCCCACUGGACCACGAGGAGACACCUGAAGAGGUUUUAAGGGAAAACAGUAGAGAACCCAAAGACGUUGUCGCUGUUUCCCUUGGGAUGUUUUCGUCACUUGAUGCAAUAGCUAUCUAUUUAUCCCGCAUCUUCUCAACAGUUCUAUCAGGUCAGUUGAUGUGUUGAGGCGUUUUAGCAGCUGGUUCUCCUGCUGGAGGAGCAACCCAGUCACAACUCAGUGUUGAGAAAGAAACCCAGAUGUUUUAUUCCGUAGUUUUCAGCUUGUUCUGGUUCCACUCACCAUGUGUCUGAGGUCUGCUGGCAGUUUCUGGAUGUGCUCAAACUCUUUGAUCUUCUCUGAAUCCAGGUCCUCCUGCAGCUCCCAGGUAGCCUCCUCGUAUGAGAGACUGCACCACUUCACCAGGUAGUGGGUGACCUCCUACAACAGCCCGCACAACACAUCCCACAGCGUUAGCAGAUGUUAGCUGGAGGUAGCGGAUGUAAGCACCAGGUGUUACCAGCUGUUACCAGGUGUUACCAGGUGUUACCUGGUCACCUUUGUGUUAUGUAAAGUUACCUGCUGUCAUCACAGCUGAUUUUGUGUGCUACCCACCUCUCCAGUCUCAGUGUCCGUGGUGACAGCCACCUCCAAGAUUCGGUCCACUUCCACAUAGUCCGGAUUAAAGAUGUCCUCAUCGGGCUGGAAGACGGGACAGAAAGACAACAAGACGAUGUUGAUUGAUUGAUUCCUCAUAGUGGAUCAAGUCAGAUAACAAUUUUAUAGAAUACAAAAUAAGCAAAAAACACCAGCGAUCAUUAAUGAAAUGUGUUCUUUAUUCUAACAGUGAUAUUUAUUUUGGUUUCUCCAUAUUGUUAUUGAGCCACUGUCAUUUAUUUGUGUUUGUGACUUGACUAGAGGAAGAGGGGGCUGUUGCACAAAAGUAGAAAACAGAAAUCCAGGAUUAGUGAAAAGCAGCUUGACUUAGUUUGAUCUUAAUCAGUUGCACGUUUGCCGAGUCGGGAUGAGGAGGAGGAGCUUAGUCCAUCCAGGUGCACACAGCUGGGAUCCGUGCACGUUCACGGCUUAAGUAGACCACGGCGUCCAUCACAGAGCUACUGAUGCACAGAUGGAGAAGACGCGCGCGGCAUAUUUGUCACCUGCUGAGCAGCAACUAAUUAUGGAAACUUCUGAGGAGGUGAAGCCUCUAAUAUGCAGAAAAGGGAAACCGGCAACUGUAAUUAAACAGAGAAAAGUCUGGCAGACAAUCGCUGACCGACUGAAUGCGGAAGGGUUUUAGUGCUGUUUGUGUGCUGGUGUCUUUAAGUAGCCUACAUGGAAUAUUCCUCUGGAAAUUUCUAAAAAAAGUUGAAAAAAAAGUCGAAAAAGUCUAGCUAGUAUUGAUACUUUCAGGUGUUGCUCUAUCUGCUGUAGUGAAACACUGAAGAACAAGAACACACUUUCCACAUUCGUUCUGAGCUUUGAUGAAGACAAAAGGGGUUGACAUGAUGGUUAUCCAUCAAGGAGUUGCCUUGGUUACGGCAGGUGAGAGUUACUGUGGGCUUUACAGACUGCAUUGGG